AGAGCUCGGGAAAACUUCUUCUGUCACUCAUGUGCGAGGACCAAUCAUCGUAGGGAGAGCGUGUCACGAGGGGCCUGCCCGCAUUUGGCCGGGUGCGCAUGCGCCAAUUCCUGCUGCGAGCCCCGGGAGAGGCCCCGCCCGACAGCCUAUUGGGCAUGCUCAGACUUGAAAGGCGCGGGACCCCAGAGGUGCGUGCGCAUGUCGGUUGCGGGCAGGACUCGAGGGGCGAGCGGUGGUGGUAGCAAGAGGAUUGGAGUGAAUCCCAGGCCAGCCUGGGCAACGGACUGAGGCCCUGGCCCAGCAACAAGAGUAUUGGGCAUGGUGGUUCAUACCUGUCAUCUCAGAACUCCAGAGGCUAAAGAAGAGGGACUGUUAUUCAUGGGAGUCUAGCCUUGGCUUCUGGAGUGAGUUCCAGUCCCAUCUGAACUACAGAGUGAACCCUGUCUCACUAGAUACACCAGACCGACACACGUUCUUUGACCUGCACACACAAUCUGUGGCGCACAUCCAUGCACCCCACAAUAAUAAAGAGAAUUUUUAAAAACUGAA